ensembl:lncRNA
CACACUAGCAAAAGCUGUGUGCUGUGUGUGUGGGUGGUUUUCAUGUUUUUAAGGUCAGGUUAGUGGUUUCUUUGGGGCCUCCCCGGGGGCUCGGUGGUCAAGAAUCGUGCCUGCCAAUGCAAGAGACACAGGUUCAAUCCCCGGUCUGGGAAGACCUGAGAAGGAAAUGGCAGCCCACUCUUAGUAUUCUUGCCUGGAAAAUUCCAUGGACAGAGGAGCCUGGUGGGCUACAGUCCUUGGAGUCACAGAGUCAGACACAACUGAGCGGCUGAACGCACACUCACAGGGUAUGUGGCAUUAGCUUAGUGGUCAGGCAGCAGGCAAUGAAAAAACAGACACAUCAGGCAGAACAGCUGGGGAUCCCUGUCGGGCAGUGGCAGAACAUCUGAUGUGGCUAUGAUGUUGGAUAACUUGUAAAAGCAAACUAUGUGUCUACUCAGUUUUUGUUCAAGUGGAAGAAGCUGUGAAAAAGCAGAAAUGUGGUAUGUGUUGAUCGGUACUGGCUGUUUUGGCACGACAGAGUUGAGUUCCAGAAAAAAAAUUGGCCAGUUUACAAGCAGAAGUGAAGGGGGUGGAGAACCCUGAAAUCCAGGGUCCUGCAGUGUUGGAAAAGCCAAAUAGUCUCGUGUCUAGUCUCUAAACACCAAAGCGUGCUUAUGCUCAAAAACAGCUCAGGAAGACAGUGACUCAGAGCGUGUGGUGGUCUUCCUGCUUGAGCCUCACGGCCUCGAGGCCAUCAUCUUCAGGGGGGAUCAUGUAGGUAAGCACAGAAGUAAAGCUAACCUGAGUACUGUGCUCAGGAAAGAACCAGAAAUGCUGUCAUUGCCACUGGACCUGCCUGGUAAAGAAAGAAAACGUGUAGGUUUCUGAGGGAAUUGUUUUACCAAGGAAACCAUUGUUCAGGUACUAAGUCGUGUCCGACUCUUUGCAACCCCAUGGACUAUAACCCACCAAGCUCCUGUGUCCAUAGAAUUUUCCAGGCAAGAAUACUGGAGUGGGCUGCCAUUUCCUACUCCAGGAGAUCUUCCCAGACCAGGGAUUGAACCUGGGUCUCCUGCAUUGGCAAGCAGAUUCUUUACCACAGAGCCACCAGGGAAGCCCCAAGGAAACCAAUAGCCUGACCCUAAAA